UAGGCCUAGUGGCUCACCUUCUCCAAACUGGCACCAACUCCUGUCGACACGUACAGCAGUGAUUAUCAGAGGGUUAAUCCACUAAUAAGUCCUGGAUUCCACACAAUGCCAGUGUGUCACCUGUCUUCACAAAUUUAAUAAAGCCCUGCAGAUGUUCCUAUACUACCUGUCACUGGUCUCUGCUCCAUUACUCUCUACUGAGAUGAUCUUGAAG